UAAUGUCUUUUUUUUUUUUUUAAAGACGUCUUCUUCAAAAGAAAAACGUUACCUGAAAAUUGAAGCACGGUGUGCUGUUAAAGAAUCUCAUUCCACAAUGGAGAUAAAAAACAGGACAGAAGAUCAAUUUUUGGAGGUUUACUGUGAAGAAGAAGAUAAUCCUGCAGCCCGGACAUGUGCUGACUGUGUAGCUGAGAAUCAUUGUAAUAGUACAUAUGGUAAAGGUCA